rnacentral:pre_miRNA from 1 species
CUGUGCUGUGUGGGACUGUUGGAGAAGUGAGGGGCUCUCUGUGCCGUGGAAAUGCGGUGAGCUCUCCAUCGGAGGCACUCUGACUUCUCGGACAGGGCUGCACUGGUGGUUAAUGCUUU